rnacentral:tRNA from 1 species
GCCGGGGUGGCGUAAUUGGCAGACGCGUCGGACUUAAAAUCCGAUGGCGAGAGCCGUGCGGGUUCAAGUCCCGCCCUCGGCA